rnacentral:rRNA from 1 species
GACGAACGCUGGCGGCGUGCUUAACACAUGCAAGUCGAGCGGUAAGGCCCUUUCGGGGGUACGACGAGCGGCGAACGGGUGAGUAACACGUGGGUGACCUGCCCUCAGCUCUGGGAUAAGCCUGGGAAACUGGGUCUAAUACUGGAUAUGACUCCACGGUGCAUGUCGUGGGGUGGAAAGCCUUGCGCGGCUGAGGAUGGGCCCGCGGCCUAUCAGCUUGUUGGUGGGGUGAUGGCCUACCAAGGCGACGACGGGUAGCCGGCCUGAGAGGGCGACCGGCCACACUGGGGCUGAGACACGGCCCAGACUCCUACGGGAGGCAGCAGUGGGGAAUCUUGCGCAAUGGGCGAAAGCCUGACGCAGCGACGCCGCGUGAGGGAUGACGGCCUGGUGUAACU